GGUUCGAUGGUGUAGUUGGUUAUCACGUAAGCUUAACAAAAAAGGAUAGCUGCUCUAAUGAGCUGUAAACUCCUGGAUGUUAUCGCUUAAGGUCUAGAGUUCGAUCCUCUAUCGAAUCA
rnacentral:tRNA from 1 species